GGCCGGACUCCUACGGGAGGCAGCAGUGGGGAAUAUUGCACAAUGGGGGAAACCCUGAUGCAGCGACGCCGCGUGAGUGAAGAAGUAUUUCGGUAUGUAAAGCUCUAUCAGCAGGGAAGAAGUUGACGGUACCUGAGUAAGAAGCCCCGGCUAACUACGUGCCAGCAGCCGCGGUAAUACGUAGGGGGCAAGCGUUAUCCGGAUUUACUGGGUGUAAAGGGAGCGUAGACGGCGAUGCAAGUCGGAAGUGAAAGGCGGGGGCCCAACCCCCGGACUGCUUUGGAAACUGUAUGGCUGGAGUGCAGGAGAGGUAAGUGGAAUUCCUAGUGUAGCGGUGAAAUGCGUAGAUAUUAGGAGGAACACCAGUAGCGAAGGCGGCUUACUGGACUGUAGCUGACGUUGAGGCUCGAAAGCGUGGGGAGCAAACAGGAUUAGAUCCCCGAGUA
rnacentral:rRNA from 1 species